rnacentral:lncRNA from 1 species
AAAAUCUCCGCUAUUAGUAGAACUUGAGCAUAUUUUCAGAAAAGGUCUUUAAUGGACUCUUUUGCAUGCUUCUGAUACCUUUUUCUCCCUGUUACUAAGUUGACCUAUGUGACUACCAUGUGUCACUAUCUAUAGACUUUGCAAUUAUUAUUGGUUCUUCUCUUUUCCAUGGUUUAACCUCACAUACCUAAUGAUUGUGCACUCUUUAUAUAUGCUAAAUUUCCCUCUCAAAACUAUCCUUAAUUGUGGAGUGAUUUCAUACCUCCUUGUGCAAGUCUGAUUGAUUCUUUCCUUGUAUUACUAAUUUCCCUGUUUCUUAGUUUGAUUUGAAAAACGUUCCUUACCCUUUCGAUUCUCCUAUUUCUGACUUGGUUUAUUUGUAUCUUCGAAUCCUUAACUCUUUUAUUUACUAUGUGUUGAUUGAUUUAUUGUGUUUCUUGCCUUACUUGGUCAACCGUGUAUUUUAAAGAUUCUUCAUCAAUUCUUCCCUUAGUUAAACCCCCUAUGUAUUUACUCCUAAUUUCCUACUUUGCAUAAGAUGCUUGCCUGAUCUCCUUCCUUAAAAGUUUUUUGCCCUUUACAAUUUGAGUUUAAACUCUUUAAUUAAAAAAGGUUUUUAUACUGAUUGAUUUUAAUUGGUACACAAUUCCAUAACUAUUUUCCUGCCUUAGUUUCUACCUGUUUUCACACUGUAAAUACCUGGCUUUUGCAUUGACAAAACACAUGAACACCCUUAGUUUCCUGAACUUACACUUACAUUCAAAAAGCAUUCACUCUUAUUACUUGUACAGUGGCAUAUUUUCAAGUCCUACUACUGCUUUUACUGUACUUUGCCUCUUUGAAACUGGUAUGUCCUGUUUAAGAUUUUCAGCAAUCAUCAAUAAUGUGUUUACUUAAUACCUUUAUUUGCAUGGUUUCUUACUAUUUGUUCUUAGUUUAGCGUUUACUCUAGUAUGUUAUAACUUCCUCUUAAUAUGAACCCCAAGCCCCCCACCCAAUGUGUUUGGAUGCUAAUGAUUUGUUUAAGGAAUGACAGUAUUAAAUAUUAUUGCUUAUGGCUCAAACUUAUUCCCCUGGAAUCAUAACCUCUAUGUCACCAUAAUGUAUUGUGUAUUCUUGUUGAUUCUGUGAGCAUAAUAGCACUCUCUAUUGCAAUAUAUGCCCAUGAUUAGCUAAUGCCUAAGUAUAUAGGCUAUUUGGCGAUUUCCCCGUUCCCUGAAUCCUUUGUAUGACUUGUUUAUGACUGUUCCUAGCACCUCUUCCCCUCUUCUUUACUUUUCGAUUUCUUUAAAACUUUGUUCUUCACUUGCACUCUCUGUUAGAUUUUAAGUUCUGCCCCCCUUGUGAGCCUUGCCUUGGGACCUUGAGUUCCCUCUGAACUUGGAC